GACGAACGCUGGCGGCGUGCCUAAUACAUGCAAGUAGAACGCUGAAGAGAGGAGCUUGCUCUUCUUGGAUGAGUUGCGAACGGGUGAGUAACGCGUAGGUAACCUGCCUUGCAGCGGGGGAUAACUAUUGGAAACGAUAGCUAAUACCGCAUAACAAUAGGUGACACAUGUCAUUUAUUUGAAAGGGGCAAUUGCUCCACUACAAGAUGGACCUGCGUUGUAUUAGCUAGUAGGUGAGGUAACGGCUCACCUAGGCGACGAUACAUAGCCGACCUGAGAGGGUGAUCGGCCACACUGGGACUGAGACACGGCCCAGACUCCUACGGGAGGCAGCAGUAGGGAAUCUUCGGCAAUAGGGGCAACCCUGACCGAGCAACGCCGCGUGAGUGAAGAAGGUUUUCGGAUCGUAAAGCUCUGUUGUAAGUCAAGAACGAGUGUGAGAGUGGAAAGUUCACACUGUGACGGUAGCUUACCAGAAAGGGACGGCUAACUACGUG
rnacentral:rRNA from 1 species